rnacentral:rRNA from 1 species
GACGAACGCUGGCGGCGUGCUUAACACAUGCAAGUCGAACGGAAAGGCCCUGCUUUUGUGGGGUGCUCGAGUGGCGAACGGGUGAGUAACACGUGAGUAUCCUGCCCUUGACUUUGGGAUAACUUCAGGAAACUGGGGCUAAUACCGGAUAGGAGCUCCUGCUGCACGGUGGGGGUUGGAAAGUUUCGGCGGUUGGGGAUGGACUCGCGGCUUAUCCGCUUGUUAGGGAGGUUGUGGCAUACCAAGCCUUUGACGGCUAGCCGGCCUGAGAGGGUGACCGGCCACAAUGGGACUGAGGUACGGCCCAGACGCGUACGGGAGGCAGCAGUGGAGAAUAUGGCACAAUGGGCGGGAGCCAGAUGCAGCAACGCCGCGUGCGGGAAGACGGCCUACGGGUUGUAAACCGCUUUCGCCUGUGACGAAGCGUGAGUGACGGUAAUGGGUAAAGAAGCACCGGCUAACUACGUG